ACAUGCAAGUCGNAUGAAUAACGAUGGCGGACGAGAGAGUAACGGGUAGGAAUCUACCUAAUAGUGGGGGACAACUCGAGGAAACUCGAGCUAAUACCGCAUACGUUCCUACGGCGGAAAGCGGGGGACCUUCGGACCUCACGCUAUUAGAGGAGCCUGCGUUAGAUUAGCUAGUUGGUGAGGUAAAGGCUCACCAAGGGUACGAUCGUAUAACUGGUCUGAGGGGACGAUCAGCCACACUGGAACUGAGACACGGUCCAGACUCCUACGGGAGGCAGCAGUAGGGAAUCUUGGGCAAUGGGCGAAAGCCUGACCCAGCGAUGCCGCGUGUGCGAAGAAGGCCUUAGGGUUGUAAAGCACUUUCAGUUGCGAAG
rnacentral:rRNA from 1 species